UGGGGAAUAUUGGACAAUGGGCGAAAGCCUGAUCCAGCCAUGCCGCGUGAGUGAUGAAGGCCUUAGGGUUGUAAAGCUCUUUUAGUGGGGAAGAUAAUGACGGUACCCACAGAAAAAGCCCCGGCUAACUUCGUGCCAGCAGCCGCGGUAAUACGGAGGGUGCAAGCGUUGUUCGGAAUUACUGGGCGUAAAGCGCGUGUAGGCGGCUAAUUAUGUCAGGUGUGAAAGCCCUCGGCCUAACCGAGGAAGUGCGCCUGAAACUGAUUAGCUUGAGUACGAGAGAGGAGGACGGAAUUCCCAGUGUAGAGGUGAAAUUCGUAGAUAUUGGGAGGAACACCGGUGGCGAAAGCGGUUCUCUGGAUCGAUACUGACGCUAAGACGCGAAAGCGUGGGGAGCAAACAGGAUUAGAUACCCAAGUAGUCCCUGAGCGGGCUGGCAAGGCGCAU
rnacentral:rRNA from 1 species